rnacentral:rRNA from 1 species
GACAGAGGCCUCAAGCGUUAGGCGGAAUCACUGGGCUUAAAGCGUGUGUAGGCGGAUCGUUAAGUGUCUUGUGAAAUCCCACGGCUCACCCGUGGAACUGCUGGGCAUACUGGCGAUCUUGGGCCAACUAGGGGCAACUGGAACAAGCGGUGGAGCGGUGAAAUGCGUAGAUAAUCGCUUGGAACGCCAAAGGUGAAACAGGUUGCUGGGGUUGUGC